rnacentral:rRNA from 1 species
UACGUAGGGACCAAGCGUUGUUCGGAAUUACUGGGCGUAAAGGGCGCGUAGGCGGCGGGGUCAGUCGGGUGUGAAAUCUUGGGGCUUAACCCCGAAACGGCACUCGAAACUGCCCGGCUGGAGGGCCGGAGAGGAGAUCGGAAUUCACGGUGUAGCAGUGAAAUGCGUAGAGAUCGUGAGGAAGACCCGUGGCGAAGGCGGAUCUCUGGACGGCUAACUGACGCUGAGGCGCGAAGGCCAGGGGAGCAAACGGG